GACGAACGCUGGCGGCGUGCCUAAUACAUGCAAGUAGAACGCUGAAGGAGGAGCUUGCUCUUCUGGAUGAGUUGCGAACGGGUGAGUAACGCGUAGGUAACCUGCCUGGUAGCGGGGGAUAACUAUUGGAAACGAUAGCUAAUACCGCAUAAGAGUAGAUGUUGCAUGACAUUUGCUUAAAAGGUGCAAUUGCAUCACUACCAGAUGGACCUGCGUUGUAUUAGCUAGUUGGUGGGGUAACGGCUCACCAAGGCGACGAUACAUAGCCGACCUGAGAGGGUGAUCGGCCACACUGGACUGAGACACGGCCCAGACUCCUACGGGAGGCAGCAGUAGGGAAUCUUCGGCAAUGGUCGGAAGUCUGACCGAGCAACGCCGCGUGAGUGAAGAAGGUUUUCGGAUCGUAAAGCUCUGUUGUAAGAGAAGAACGAGUGUGAGAGUGGAAAGUUCACACUGUGACGGUAUCUGACCAGAAAGGGACGGCUAACUACGUG
rnacentral:rRNA from 1 species